CCUUAGAGUUUGAUCAUGGCUCAGGACGAACGCUGGCGGCGUGCUUAACACAUGCAAGUCACGGGGGUCCGCAAGGACAACCGGCGAACGGGUGCGUAACACGUGAGCAAUCUGCCGAUCUCUGGGGGAUAGCCGGCCCAACGGCCGGGUAAUACCGCGUACGCUCAUCGGGGGGAGUCCCCUGGUGAGGAAACCUCCGGGGGAGAUCGAGGAGCUCGCGACCUAUCAGCUAGUUGGCGAGGUAACGGCUCACCAAGGCGACGACGGGUAGCUGGUCUGAGAGGAUGGCCAGCCACAUUGGGACUGCGACACGGCCCAGACUCCUACGGGAGGCAGCAGUGGGGAAUAUUGCGCAAUGGACGAAAGUCUGACGCAGCGACGCCGCGUGUGGGAUGAAGCCUUUCGGGGUGUAAACCACUGUUGCCCGGGACGAAACUCCUCUUUCGAGAGGAUUGACGGUACCGGGUGAGGAAGCACCGGCUAACUCUGUGCCAGCAGCCGCGGUAAUACAGAGGGUGCGAGCGUUGUCCGGAAUCACUGGGCGUAAAGGGCGCGUAGGUGGCGGGAUAAGCGUGUGGUGAAAGCCCGGGGCUCAACCCCGUGUCUGCCAUGCGGACUGUCUUGCUCGAGCGUAGUAGAGGCAGGUGGAAUUCCGGGUGUAGCGGUGGAAUGCGUAGAGAUCCGGAAGAACACCGGUGGCGAAGGCGGCCUGCUGGGCUACUGCUGACACUGAGGCGCGACAGCGUGGGGAGCAAACAGGAUUAGAUACCCUGGUAGUCCACGCCGUAAACGAUGGGUACUAGGUGUCUGGGGGAGCGACCCCCUGGGUGCCGACGCUAACGCAUGAAGUACCCCGCCUGGGGAGUACGGCCGCAAGGCUGAAACUCAAAGGAAUUGACGGGG
rnacentral:rRNA from 1 species